GUAGGGGCCUAGCGUUGUCCGGAAUUAUUGGGCGUAAAGAGCUCGUAGGUGGUUUGUUAAGUCUGUCGUGAAAUCCCCGGGCUCAACCUGGGAAUGGCGAUGGAUACUGGCAAGCUAGAGUGAGGUAGAGGAGAGUGGAAUUCCCGGUGUAGCAGUGAAAUGCGUAGAGAUCGGGGGGAACAUCAGUUGCGAAGGCGGCUCUCUGGACCAUCACUGACACUGAGGCACGAAAGCGUGGGGAGCAAACAGGAUUAGAUACCCUGGUAGUCCACGCCCUAAACGAUGCGAACUGGACGUUGGGCUCAAUUAGGAGCUCAGUGUCGAAGCUAACGCGUUAAGUUCGCCGCCUGGGGAGUACGGUCGCAAGACUG
rnacentral:rRNA from 1 species